ensembl:sense_intronic Gm43696 predicted gene 43696
UUUUUUUUUUUUUUUUUUUUGACAGGGUCUCGUUAUGUAGACCAGGCUGGCCUUGAACAUAAAGAUAUCUGAAAAAAAAAAUCUGCCUGCUUUUGCCUCAUAAGUGCUGGGUUUAGAGACAUGUGCCACUACACUUGAUUCCAUUUAGCAAGGAUCCUCCCAUGCACAUAUCUGGGUAUCCCUAGAUACCCUAGAUAAUUGACUACAUUUUUCCUUCUGUAACAUUCCUCAGGUGAUAUCUGAUCACCCUGACCUGCCUUUAGCAAGAGUCUCUCUAGGUUGUUUUAGCUAGAACCCUCUUAAGUUCUGAAGCCACCUGCUGAUUCUUACCCCGCUUUCUCAUUGGCUAAAAACAUCCUGUUUGAUGUUGCUUGUAAUUAGAGUUGAGCCCAGCUUCUUUCCACUUUUACAGAAUUUCAUUGCAGAGAUCUCUGUGCCUGGGAGAAUGUCUUGAAUACACUCUGCCUUACCAUGCUUGCUUUAACAAGUAUCACUGAAUAGCUUUUCCUUUAACAGUUAUGGUGGUGUGGCAUGGAUAGGAUCAGAUUCAUCAUUGGACCCCCGGACCUCUCACCCAGGUCUCCCAAAUAUACACCUUUGAAGCCUUUGUCUUCAUUCCUGACUGAUUGAUCGGGGAUCCAAUGGUUAGUCAGACUGGUGAACCAUUGCUCUGGACAGACAUCCAUUGGAGCUGGUGGUAAGGAGAGAUUUUGAUUCUUGAGAUUCUGAGUGCAGUUUCUAAUACGGGGCAGAGUGCUACACUUCAUACCAGCUCUGCCUGAGAUCUUCCUGGACCUCUUUCCUGAGUGGGGGCUGUUUCCUGACUCCCUGGUGUAUUCUUUGUCCUCUGCAGAAUCUUUAUUUUUUCUUGAUUAGGUUCUGUUUUUCCUCUAGGAGCUUCUCUGCCCUUACUGGAAACUCUGGCAAUAAUAUGUUCUGCUAACUCUAUCCACUCAACUGUCCACUUCCUAAUUACUGGAAUUUUGUUGUUCUCUUUUGGGGAACUUAUGGUCUCCCUGUACUGGUUCUUCUUAAGAUAACCCCCUUCCAUCCCUUUGAGUCUUUUGAUAAUCUCUGAAAAUCCCUCUCUUGCGUUUGUCUAUCCACCUCUGUCAGUCCAUAUUCUAUUUUUGCUGCUCCCCUUUCAGUCUACCUAUUAUUGUCCAUUGGAGAUUCUCGAGACUAAUAGACCUCAAAUAGUAAUUGUGUAAGUCUGAAAAACACUGAAGUAUUAUUUUAAUCUAUAUUCAGAUGGGCUUUGGAGAUACCUAAAUGCUCCUAUGUCUCUGUAACCUCCCUAAGAUUGAUUAUGUGUCCUGACAAAAUAAUUUUUAAAAUUUUUAAUCAGCAUAUAUUGAUUAUACAUGAUAAUAGGUUUCAUUCUGACAUUUUCAUGCAUGCAUGUACUCUAUGUUGAUCAUAUUUAUUCCCUACCCCCUUGUCCUCUCAUCUCCUACUCCUUCACUAAUCCUCUUCCUAAGUAGUCCCACUUCUACUUUUAUGUCUUCUUUUGUUUAUUUUUGUGACCCAGUGAGUUUCUUAGGGCUGUUUGCAGAAACGUGGGCACCUUAUCUAUGGCUAUAGCAUUGAAGAAAAUGUCUAUCUCCAAUAACUCUUAACAGUGUGUAAAUCCUCAGAGGGGGCCCAAGCUGAUAGUCUCCUCUACAAAUAUAUGUGUUUCACCUUAUCCUUUAGAAAUAAUGUGUUCCUGUGCUGAACCUGCAUAGUAUCAAACCUAUACACGCUAUAAAAUUACCACUGCAGAAUAAUGGUGUUCACUUGUCCUUCCAUGUCUUGUGACCUGUUACUGCUUCUUCAUUGCUUGUGGGUUGGAACUUUAACAAAUUAAAGAAGUUAUUUGAACCCAAGCCACUGUAACACUAUAACACUUGAUCUAAUACUCAGUAUAGCCAUUAAAUCAUUAAUGGGUGAUGAGGAUGUACUAGACAAAAGGAUGAUUUAUAUCCUGAAUGGAACAGCAUAAGGUUUUUUCUCAUUAAUCAAAAUGGCACACAAUUUGCAACUUAGGAAUUGUUUACUUUUGUGCUUUUCCAUGUAACAUUUUUAUAUAUUAUUGACCUCCCAUGAUUGAAACUGCAGGAAGCAAGCUGUGGAUAAGGGAGAUGUACUGAAUUUGUAAAUAAUUAUCUUUCCUUCUUUGUUUUUCAGCAACAGUUUGAAUUAAAAUGUAAAGUAUAGGAAAAACAACAGGUUUUUUUUGUUUAUUUGUUUGUUUUUUACUUAAAACUUCCUUUGGAAGGCAAAGGAGUUUAAGGCCAACCUGAUCUAUAUAGUGAGUUCCAGGCCAACCUGGGCUAGAUCCUAUCUCAAGAAAAGUAAAUAAAUAAGUGAGUUUAUGUUAGUGUUUUACUGGUUCAAGACUGAAAUCUUAGACUGAAAGAUGUAAUUUCUGUUUGCAUCUGUUUAUCUAGUAGUUUGUAUGUGUUAGGUAUGAAUGUUAAUAUGUUCGUGUAUUAAAAGGCUGGAAUUGACAUGAGGUACCUCCCCCUUUUUUUACCUUAGUUUUGAGCUGGGGUUUUCCACUGAUCUUGGAGUUCUGUUUUAGCUAACAUAGCUGGCCAGCUUGCUCUUGGGAAUCUCCCUCCCCCUGCUGUCCGCAGAGCUGGGGUUACAUAUACUUAUGGCUGCAUGCACCUGUGUUUUAUGUGGAUCCUGCAAACUCAGACACAGAUCCUCAUACUGUCACAAUAGCCCUGUGAUAUUUGUCUAGCUCUAGAUUAGAUUUCAACCUUUGGGCUACAACCCUUCUGGCAAACCUGUAGCUCCAAAAAUAUUUACAUUACUGUUCUUAACAGUAGCAAAAUUACAGCUAUGAAGAAGCAACAAAAAUAAUUUUAUGGCUGGGGUCACCACAUCAUGAAGAACUAUGUUAGUUGUAUCAUUAGGGAGGCUGAGAACCACUGCUCUAGAUGGUAUUGCCAAAUUAAUUUAUACUUUUUUUUUUUAAAAAAGAGUUCUUUUAAAAUUGACUAAGAAAAAAAAAAGAAAGACAGAAGGAAGGAGGGAAAGAAAGAAAAGAAGGAAGGAAAAGAAAAGAGCGGUUGGUAACACAUACCUUUAAUUCUAGCACUUGGAAGGCGCAGGCAAUGAGUUCAAGGCCAGCCUAGUCUACAGAGUUAAGUUCCAGGACAGCCAGGGCCAUACAGAGAGACCCUGUCUCAAAACAAACAAACAAACAAACAAACAAACAAACACCCAAAAACAAAAAAACAAAACAACAAAAACCCAAGAAGAAAACAAACAAACAAACAAGUAUAUGAAUAAGCAUAAAACUCUCAGAAACAUAAUCCAUGUACUUUUCAAAUUCAUAUUGCUUGGGUAAACCAUGUAUGAAUAAGAUUAGUCUAGUGCUGGCUUGUUAAAACCAGCUGUAUUUUCAGGAUUGUCAACAUUGUGAUACAGACAAUUUCACUUUAUCUGGGUUUCUACUCAGCUUGUUAUCUUCACUAAUGUUUGGACUAUGAAACUAUAAUUCAACCUGUGAACAGAGUGUGCACUAAAAUUAGUUACUUGAUGCACAUCAAGUCAGAGUCAAAAGGAAGAAAAAGAAAAGGAUAGUAUGUUUUUAAUUUUGUAGGGUUUCCUAUGAUACAUUUUUCUGUUUUGAGGGUUAUAGGCAGGCCUUGCAGAUGCUGAACACAUGCUGUGCCACUAUCAGCCUGUGAGUCUUUUCCUCGAGACAGCAUGCAUAGGUUAGCUUUCCUCAUGCUUUAGCCUCUUGAAUGAGGGAUGUAUAGCCAUGUACCUUCAUAUUCAAUUUUUAGUAAUAUUUUUAAUUCUUACCUCUCUUAACAGAUAAUGAGAACAGAUUUUCUAUAAGAAUUUUAAUCAUAAUAAUCACAAAUGAGUCAGGCAGAUGUAAACAGAGUAAGUUUAUGAAUGAACUUUUUACCAGUCACUGUUUUUAUGUAAUAUGUCUAUGUAAAACAAUUAAGCCAUACUACUAAGUGAAAUGGUGAAGUUUAUUCAUUGAAUCUGUAGAUAAUUUCAAAGUAUGAUAAAAUUUGAGGCAUUAAUUGUCAGAUAUCUUCAAACUUAUAUAUACUUUAGAUGGCUUAAACUCUAGAGGAAACAAAAUGUAUUUGAGCCUGUUAGUGAGUAUGUCCUGGACUGUAGAGAAAAAAAAUGUACUGUAGCCAUAUGCUUGCAGAAACUUAAAUAGUACGUUAAAUUUGUUAUUCUUAAGAUGCUGGUAUACAGCAGUUUACUUUUCAUCUUUUUUUUCCUUUAAAAUGUUUUAAGUAUUCUUUAAACUUGUAAAAAUUUUUACUGUUUUAUGUAUAUGGGUGUUUUACAUAUAUGCCUGCUGUCCAAGGAAAAGAUGAUAGAAUGUUGUCCUUGGAACUCAAGAUGGUUGUGAGCCAUCAUAUGGUUGCUAGAAACUGAGACUGGGGUCCUCUGCAAGAACAAGGGCUACUAACCUCUGAGCUAUCUCUCCAGCCCUAAGUGGGAAGAUUUUUAUGUUAGGCUUGGGCACAGUGAACACAUAAAGUCUAUUCUGCACACAUUCAGUGGUGGUAAUUCUGGGACAUGAAUACUCUAACUACAAAGACAGACUAGGAGAUCAAUCUAGUCAUGUGCUCAGAAGGAAAAAAAAUUUAAAGGGGUGUUGGGGGAGAGGAAAGCCAGCCUGGUGUCAGUGGAAGUUAGAAGAGGCUUAGAUCUCCCAGAAUUGGAGUUUCAGAUGAUUGUGAGCAGCCAUGUGAUUGGUGGGACUUGAACCUGGGUCCUCCUAAAGAGCAGCAGUGUGUGUGUGUGUGUGUGUGUGUGUGUGUGUGUGUGUGUGUGUGUGUGUGUAGAUCAGAGGCCAACUUGUGGGUCAAUUUAAGUCAUCAAGCAUGCCAGUGGGCACCUUUACCUACUGGCCAUCUCACCCAGGCCCCAAAGAUACAUUUGUAAAGUUGAGGGAAAGUAAUUUUGUGUUAGUAUGGAGUUGAUGCAAAAUGAAAAUGGAGAACAAAGAACAAAAAAUUUGAAUAGGUAUUAGAAAGUUGGGAAAAGUCUCAUGUAGUCAAGCUGGCUAAAUUGAAUCAAUUCUAAGAACUUUGAAAAAUAGGAUUAAUGUUAAUUGUUCUCCUCUGUACCAUUAAAAUAUAUUGUCUUUCAUUAACAAAAGGUUUUCUGAGGUCCACCUAUCAUCUCUUGAUUUGUUUUGUCUGUCCCUGACUUUUUCCUUGUUGUCUUUCUUUCUCUUCCACCUUCAGGAUUGGAUAGAUUGUAGGAUCUUAUAAAUUCUAAGCAUAUUCUCUGGCACUAAGCCAGCCACACCUCCAGCUUUCACCCCCCGGCCCCAACUAUAAUUGACCAGGCCCUGCUUAAGCUUCUGAUUGUCAGCCCUUACCAAGUCCUGUAGUUUGCUUUUGUACCUCUCUCCAGCUUUCUGAGGUGAUGUUUCCAUUUAUUCCCCAGCAUCCUGAUGUGAUGCAUAAUAAAACAGCCUUCCCCAAAGUUAUGUUAGCUAAACACCUCAUGACAUUUCAUGUAUUCAAGUAUUAAAUGGGAAAAUCUGACAGUUGCUAAGAUUUAUCCUAAAGAUACUUUGAGGCCAGCAUCUAAGAAUUUGUAGCUACACCCCCACCCUCACCCCCUGGACAAGGUUUCUCAAUGUAGCCCUGGAUGUCUUGGAAUUUGAUCUGUAGACCAGGCUGGCCUUAAGCUCAGAGCUCUCCUUGUCUCUACUCGCUGAGGGCUGGGAUUAAAGGUAUGUGCCAUUACUGUCCAAAUGUAGCUAAUCUUUUCUGGACUUAAAAAAGCUUGAGUUUAAAUUUUGUUUUAGUCACUAAUCUUUGUUUCCCUUUUUCUUUUCAUAGAAAUGAUCCUCCCCACCCAUUAAAUAUCUCAAGUGCUUAUACCACCUAGCAAUAUUCUUCUCUCCCUCCCUCCCUCCUGCCCUCCCUUCCUCCCUCCUUNNNNNNNNNNNNNNNNNNNNNNAAAGAAAGAGA